rnacentral:misc_RNA from 1 species
GAUGAAGAACGUAGCGAAAUGCGAUAAGUAAUGUGAAUUGCAGAAUUCAGUGAAUCAUCGAAUCUUUGAACGCACAUUGCGCCCGCCAGUAUUCUGGCGGGCAUGCCUGUUCGAGCGUCAUUACAACCCUCAGGCCCCCGGGCCUGGCGUUGGGGAUCGGCGGAGCCCCCCGUGGGCACACGCCGUCCCCCAAAUACAGUGGCGGUCCCGCCGCAGCUUCCAUCGCGUAGUAGCUAACACCUCGCGACUGGAGAGCGGCGCGGCCACGCCGUAAAACACCCAACUCUUCUGAAGUUGACCUCGAAUCAGGGAGGAAUACCCGCUGAACUUAAGCAUAUCAAUAAGCGGAGGA